rnacentral:rRNA from 1 species
GUGCCAGCAGCCGCGGUAAGACGGAGGAUGCAAGCGUUAUCCGGAAUUAUUGGGCGUAAAGCGUUCGCAGGUGGCAAUUCAAGUCUGCUGUCAAAUCGCGAGGCUCAACCUCGUACAGGCAGUGGAAACUGGAUAGCUAGAGUAUGGUAGGGGUAGAGGGAAUUCCCGGUGUAGCGGUGAAAUGCGUAGAGAUCGGGAAGAACACCAGUGGCGAAAGCGCUCUACUGGGCCAUAACUGACACUGAGGGACGAAAGCUAGGGGAGCGAAAGGGAUUAGAUACCCUUGUAGUCC